CACACACACACACACACACACACACAAAACACGUCGGACGGCAAAGAGGAGCUACAAAUGCCUGAGGAUUCAGCUUUAGAGGAUCAACACACAUUUUCCUUUAAAAAUAUAUAAGUAUUAUAAGGUUUUUCCUCUCUCUUUCUCUCUCUCGCUCUCUUUUAAGAAAAUGUACUACGUAGAAUUGCUUUUCUUCUUCCCAUCCCCCCCUUCAAAACCUCAAGCAAACUCGAGGAAUCAUGCCAAAAGUCCCGUUGCUAGUUACCAAGUGCAUUUUUUUAAACGUCCCUUUGAUACUUCUUUCCCUCAUGCUUGCUGUGGAAUAUGCAAGUGAGAUAAUCUUUCCAUUACUUAGAAAAGCAAUUAAAAACAACUUUCAGUUGAACUUUCCUUUUUAUUGAGGGGGCAAAAGAAGGGGGGGAGGGGAGAAGAGGGAGAAUAUUUUUUCCUCUUCCCAGAACCCAACAUUUGGCUUUUUCCAUUUGUGGCAGAUCACUGUAACUCUAUUGUAAAACAACUUCCUGCCCCUUUUGGCUCAAGUUCCAGAAGCUGCUAGGCUAAGUUCAUAGCACAAACUUUUUUUCUCCUUGCCGAAGAAGCAAGACAAAAAAAUCCUUGCUAAUUAUUUUGCCCUCUUUUUUGCAAAUGGAUUCAUAAGAUGAAUUUAUUGCAGUCCCCUUAACAAUGUUACAAAAGAGACGUCCGUAUACCAGCUGGAUAAUUCAUAAAUUUAAAAGGUGGGGUUAUUAUAUAUAUUUUUUAAAUUAUUAUUUUAAAUUGUAAGUCUUAACAUCAGCACUGAUAACAUGCUAAGCUGCUUCAUCUACUGUAUUUAAUUUGUAUAUCUAUCAUAACUCAGAUCGCUGGCUUAGUAUAUGUAGCCCCCCCGCCUCUACUUUUCAUCUGCUUUUACACUCUAAACUAAUCUGUACCUCUCCUCUUCACUCUCCCCACCCCUCAAUUUAUCCUAAUGAAAAUACCCAUCCAAAACCUCCCUCUCCCUGCUAAAAACUAGAUGUUUGCAGUUCUCUGGUGCAACCAAAAGGUAAAAAAUAAGGCCUCCACAACUUGCUCUCUCACUCUCUCUCUCUCUCUCUCUGUUUCUCUCAUAGCAACAGCAUUUCCUGGUACGCCUGCUUUGGCAUCCAUCAGCAUUUUUACCCGUCCAAGUGUCCUUUUGCGUCACAUCUCGCCAUUUCAGUCAACCAAUGAAUUCUCCCUGUUGUAAUAAUAUAUGUGUGUGUGUGUGUGUGUGUGUGUGUGUGUGUGUAUCUAUAUCUAUAUAUUCUGUUAUUAGUAUGUUCAAAAAAUGUUUUAUAUGCUUUCCUUCCAAAAAUGCUGUCAAAUUGUUCGAUUUGCCCUACCAUGGGGGAAAAAAGAGAUCUUACACUAUUCAACCUGAGGGUGUCCUCCUCCUGAAAGAAUUUUACCAUAAGAAAAAAGGGGUUAGGUGAUUAGUUAAGGAAAGCCAUAGUUGUCACUCUGAUUUAAUAUUUAUUCUGCUUAUGCCAUCAUCUCUAUCAUGGCUGGACUUUAAACCAGCUAUGAGGUUUCAUGUAAUUAGAAGUCUAUACAAUAUAUUUCAAUGGUCUUAUGAAAUACUCCUGAUAAAAAUAUUUAAUGAAGUUUUGUUCCUUAAAAUGUGGAUUAGGAAAUAGUGUCAGGAAAAGAAAUAUGAUGAAAAAAAGAAAGCUGAGAUGUAACAUUUUAUUCCCUUGCAACAAUCGGUUUCCCUCCCCAGAGACUUCUCUCCAGCCUUCUCUGAAAAACUCACUAUCCUGCAAAAUGGACUAAAGUGAGAGUAACUACUCAAGGGACCAACAAAAGUCAGUUGCAUAAUACUGCUGGCCCUCAAAAUAAAGAUUUCAGUGAUGAAUGGAGAAUAUCAUACAGAAGAAACAGAUGAAUGUGGGUAACAGAACAUAAUAUACAUCUUUCAAAUGUAUGAAAUAUUUUUUUCUAAAGGAAAUAUUAUAGCAUUAUAUUAAAUAUUAUAAAUUAGCUGAAAUAAAUUUCACAAUGAUCACUGGUCACAUUAAGCAGCUAAAAUGAUACAUCAGGUUCUGCUUUCAAACUGCGAGUAAAUCAAGAAUAACCUUUUGAAGUCAAACAGAGUCAUAUUGCUGUAAAACCAAUGCAAGUGAGAGAAGAAUCUAGUCCACUUAUACACCGGCUUUUACAUUUUACAUCAUCAUCAACUCCAUUUUACAUGAUCCUUCACUAUUUAGGGAGUUCAGUGGGUGAUUUGACAAAGUAAGGACAGUACCUUUGUAUGGUAUAUCCCGUACAUGUUGAGGAUGUCAUGGGCAUAAGGUGAUAAAAUCUGCUGGAGUACGCUGUCACAUUUCUUUGCAAGAUGAAAAACUGUGCAUAUUUUGAGAUAAGGUCUCUGCCCCAAAUGUCCAGAUUUAGUAUCUCAGUUACCAUAUUUUAGGAUUCACUUUUUAGACAAAUUUAGUAACUUUCUCUUAUCUAAUAAUCUCUGAUUAGAAAAUUAAGAUUAGCAAAUUCAGAAAAUAAUGUUAAAAUAAUUGCAAAUUCUUUACUGCCACUUAAAAUGUGAACUGAUGUAAGAUUUUCAAAUCAGAGAAAUAAAGCACUUGCAGAUGUUAUACUGGAAUUAAUUGAACAAUGUAUUUUUGCCAGGACAAAGCUAAUCACAGUGAAAAAGGAGUAAUUACAUACAUAUUGGUAAAUGAAAGGGUUAAUCAAUUUUGUUAAUUUGUAUUUUAUUGUUUGGUAUAAGUACAAAUAUUGAAGAGUUUUAUAUGAAGUAAACAUGAUACUCUGCCAUUCUAUGCCAGCACGUGCCUAAAUUAGUUCUCCAUUUUGUGGUGGCCCUUUGAGAGCAAUUCCUAUUGAGAAGUGAACAAAGGCCAUGACCCCUGGGUCAGAGUGUAAUGCAGGAAGCAUGACCUUCUCUUUGUUCAGAACAGCACUAUUUACUUUGCCUAAGUAAAGAUCACCAAUACAUUAACUAAAGAGGAUUAAAAAGGUCAUAUCCCUAGGGAUGUAGCUCAGGCAAGUGGCAACUCUCUUUAAUCACCAAAUCAUUUGACUUAAAAAAAAAUACAGGAAUACCUUAUUCACUUUAGAUUCAAUAAGAUACCAUUUUAAAAGCAACAAAUACAUUUUUUUAAAAUCUAAAAAAAUCUCCUUUUAAAUAUGUGCAUCUCUGCGCUAUUAGCAGAUACAAUUUUUUUAUUUUUAAAAGAGCCAAACGUAUUUUAAAUAAAAAUAUAAUUUUCCUCCAUUAUCUUUUGAUAGGUUCUGAAUUGAUUUGUAAAA